rnacentral:lncRNA from 1 species
AUGCUAUCGUUGCUUAUCAAUAGUAUCGCCAAAAACGUGUUAUCGAUAGGCCUAUCCGUUGGGUAGAUGAUUUAUCAAAAUAAUAAUAUUAAAUUAGUAUCCCUAACUUGAAAUUUAACAGUUCUAAUUUAAAAAAAAGGUACCGCCUGUCUGACCUUCCAACCCCCGAAGGGAAAACCAGCACCAAAGACCAAGUAUUAGAAUCAUUGAAAUACUUGGUCCUUGGUUGCGAGAAUUUCGAUUAGUGUUGCCGAUCGAUAGACAACUAUCCUAUAUAUUAAGAUAUAUGUAGAAGUGAGGAUCGCGACCACAGGUUAUGGUUUUCCACUUGGUACGGCUAUACUAUAUGCUGCGUGCACCGCCCUCUGUAUGCUGCCGCCCACCGUCUUCUUCACGAUGUCAGAUCACCUCGUAGGCGCCCUUCCUCGCGCACGUUUGCCAUCUAUUUGCCCAAAGAUGAUCUGCUUCUCCAGACUGUGCUUCGGAGACCGCAUAAUAUGUCCGAAGAAGCUUAGGGCACGAUUCCGGCAUAUUGAGGAGAGCCGCGUCGUGAUCUUGAGCUCUUUUAAUAUGGACUCAUUCGUACACGUAAAAAGCCUUAAAUUACCAAGUAGAGAAAGUCCGGCAUGAGGUGAGCACGAAGUUUUGAAGACAGGAGUGAUUGUAUUAGAUUUCCUCCUGAGCAGUUGCACUACAAAUUUAGUGAUGAAGAGGCAAUACUUGACAGAAACCUUAAGUGGGAUGACAUAAUUAUAAAGAAAAUCAAUAAGAGGAUGAACUCUUUUAAUGUUUAUAAAACAAUAGUAUGGAAGAAUUUUGAUGCAUCUUGGAGCAAUGGCAACAUAUUUGGGAGUUGUGAGUGACAACGAGCAGAUUACAUAACAAUGGGAGGAUAACAAGGGCCUUAACUGAAAAAACUGGUGAAUGUUCCCAAAUAAACCUCACAGAUGUAGAAGAAACACAAAAUAAAUUUGUUUAUUUAUUUUAUUUCUGUUCCCUACUAAACUAGUAAUAAAACAUACUUUUUACAAAUA